CAAAAACAUGUCUUUUAGAUUUUAAUUUAAAGUCAAAUCUGCUCAAUGAAAAUAUUUAAAUAGCUGCAGUAUUUUGACUGUACAAAGGUAGCAAAAUAAAUAGUUUUUUAAUUAAAAACUGGAAUGAAAGAUUUAAUGAAAUAUAAACUGUCUCAAAUUUAUUGAUAUUAAAAUUUUUUUUUUAGUAAAAAUACUAAAAUAAUAUUAAAAGACGAGAAGACCCUAUAGAUUUUAAUAAAUUUAUUUAUUUAAAAUAUUAAAUUUAUUUAAUUUAAAUAUUUAUAUUUAUUUAAUUGGGGCAAUUAUUAAAUUAAAAAAACUUUAAAUAUUUAAAACAUAAAUUAAUGAUAAUUUAAUCUUUUAUUAAAAAUACAAAAUAAAAUACCUUAGGGAUAACAGCAUAAUUUUUUUAAAUAGAUCUUAUUGAUAAAAAAGAUUAUGACCUCGAUGUUGAAUUAAGAUAAAAUUAAAAAGAAAAAUUUUUAAAUUUUUGGUCUGUUCGACCAUUAAAAUCUUACGUGAUCUGAGU
rnacentral:rRNA from 1 species